rnacentral:misc_RNA from 1 species
GCUUUCCUCAUUGACGUAGCCCACCCACCGGUACCAGCCCAUGCGGGAAGGGCAGUCAUUUAAAGAGAAGCAUAAACGCUAAACAAGGACAUAACAAGGUUCCAUGAGACCCUAUGCCCACAUUUGGUUCCGUAUACAAGAUUUCAAGCAAUGCUCAAAUGAGCCACAACAUCAAUGCAAGCACUAAUGAAGUGGAUCAAAGAGAAAGCUUCAUGGUUUAUCUCAUGCCAAUCAAAUGACAAAAGACAAAGGCUACUUCAUUAGAUCUAGACAAUACCACAACUUAGGUAAGCAACACAGGAAACUCACAAUCUACACAGGUGAUAUGAACACCUAGGCAACCAACUGAAAAGGUAAGUCAGGUGGCAGUUGUUGCGCAAGCAAA